rnacentral:lncRNA from 1 species
AUGCUCUGCCGGAUCAUCAGUCAGGCCACUACGCAUCCAAGCUUGAUCCCCCUCUUCGUAUUUAUUGGAACUGGAGAUACUGGAGUGGCACUGUAUCUUUUGCACCUGGCAUUGAUCAAUCCAGUUGUUAGUUGGGACAGAAAGAAUAACCCAGAACCCUGGAACAAACUGGGUCCCAAUGAUCAAUACAAGUUCUACUCAGUGAAUGGAUUACAGCGAACUGAAGAAAGAAGGUCCAGAUUUCCAAAUGA